UAGGGAAUAUUAGUUAAUGUGCGAAAGCGCGAACUAGCAACGCCGCGUGUGCGAUGAAGGCCUUCGGGUCGUAAAGCACUUUUCUAAGGGAUGAGGAAGGACAGUACCUUAGGAAUAAGCAUCGGCUAACUACGUGCCAGCAGCCGCGGUAAAACGUAGGAUGCGAGCGUUAUCCGGAUUUACUGGGCGUAAAGCGCGUGUAGGCGGUUCGGUAAGUUGGAUGUGAAAGCUCCCGGCUUAACUGGGAGAGGUCGUUCAAUACUGCCGGGCUAGAGGAUGGUAGAGGGAGGUGGAAUGCCGAGUGUAGUGGUGAAACGCGUAGAUAUUCGGAGGAACACCAGUGGCGAAAGCGGUCUCCUGGACCAUUUCUGACGCUCAGACGCGAAAGCUAGGGUAGCAAACGG
rnacentral:rRNA from 1 species